GUGAAUCAUCAAAUCUUUGAACGCAAAUUGCACUCUCUGGUAUUCCGGAGAGGAUGCCUGUUUGAUGGUCAGUUUAAGUAAAAAUCGGUAUGAUCGCUGCCUUUCGUUGUGACGCGCCGGAUUUGGGUCGUCUGGCCUUCGGUUAAGUGACCUAAAAUUUUGCAUGAUUUUUUCGAACGUAUUUAAAUAAUUUUACGUACGUUUGCGAUAUCGAAUGCUCGUUUUU
rnacentral:misc_RNA from 1 species